UUUAAAUUUCUCCUCUCACUGGCCCGCCGCUUGUGUGUCUGCCCACGAGGCCUGCGCCCCGCCCACGCCGCCCUCAGGGGCGGAGGAACGGCCUCCGCGCCCGGCGUACGGGCCGACCGCCGUGCGGCGCAGGCGCCUGCCCUCAGGGGCGGGGGAACGGCCUCCGCGCCCGGCGUGCGGGACGGCCGCCGUGCGGCGCGGGCGGCUCAAGGGGCUACGCCCAGGACGUGCGGGGCGAGCGGCGGAAGGGGCUACACGGCCGCCGUGCGCCGCGACCUGCGCGGUCGCCAUGCGCCGCGGCACACGGCCGGCAGGGGCGGGUGAAGGGGCUCCGGCGUGCGGCGCGCCCUCUACGGCCGGCUUGCCGCGCGGCGUCGGCCCACGGCUCGAUAACCGGCCACCGACGGCGUCGCUGACAGGGAAGGGGCUCCGCACCCACCAACGAUUGGACGACUUGCUCCAGAUUGGGCGGGGGGCGCGGCUGGCUGCGGGGCAAGCGCAGCUCGGGGCAGCGCUGAGCGCACGCAAGCCGAAUCCGCGGCGACUCGCACCACCCGGCCGGCUUCAGCGCCGUCCCCAACGACCUACUCCUCACCAACGGCCAGAUGGUCGACAACAUCCUGCCGGAGCAGCAUGCGCUCGUGCCGUCCUACAUGGGCGGCUGCGGCGGCGGAGGCGGAGGCAAGAGGAUCCAUCCGGCCUUCCAGUGCAACCGAGAUCCAUGGACCCGUGGAGCGUGGCUUGGGGCGACCGGAUGGAGUGCGUGCUCCAGCAGCACGACAGGAGCGAGGGUGGCUGUGAUUGGGACGGCGACGAUGGUCGAUGCUGAUCUGGCGCUGUCUCACCUAAAGUAAUAGGCCUCCUCUCCUGUCUGACUGGAGGAUGCUGAGGACAAUGGCCUCUCCCUCAAGACCACUUGCUCCUUUGCAAAUGACGCCGAGUGCAAGCCUCUGAUAUGCAGUAUGCAUGUUCUUGCAAGGGUGCGUUGCUGAUUGACUGGCCAAAUUAGGCACUGAAUUAUAUAAAGUUCAUGCGGAAAGUAUGCUUUGCAGAGUAGGAGUGAUGUGUCACUCCUGUAUGUUGAUCUGACGAUGAGUCACUUUGGUAACAGCAGCCUGGUGAGAUGAACUAAUAUCAACGCCCCAUUCGGCUGGGUGGGAAAGAACCCCAGCCGCAGCUGGUUCUUGCAUGUUGUGGCUGGUCUGGAUCGGCGGAUAAGCAGAUGGGUUAUCAUUUUCAAAUGGCACUAUCAAGGCUGGAAGUACAUUGGUGUUGGUCAGCUCUCCAUCGCAAGAAAAAACAUGCAGAGGGCUUUGUAACCAUGAGUUGUUGAGAACCAGAGGUUGGCUUCAAUCUUCGACUUCCUCCAAUUGAGAGCAUGGGAUUGCAUUAGCCUAUCAUGUCCUGAACUCCUAAUACCAAUUUUCAAGCUCUGAUUGGCUUCCAAAAAGUAGGGGAAACGACAGCCUUGAGCCUGUCCUUCUGAGAUGGUUUAUGCUUUUUGUCUAGCAUUUCUUAAGAUGAUACAUCAAAAUUCUAUGUAUGACAUGGUUUGAUGACAGUUCAUUUUGGAUUAUGCAUCAUGUGUUUUUUGUA